UGACUAAGUUUUACUCAUUGUAGACCCACUGAAAGUAAUGGACCUCCAUUACUUUCAGUGGGUCUACACUGAGUAAAAUUUAAUUG
rnacentral:miRNA from 1 species